GAUGAACGCUGGCGGCGUGCCUAAUACAUGCAAGUCGAGCGAACAGACGAGGAGCUUGCUCCUCUGACGUUAGCGGCGGACGGGUGAGUAACACGUGGAUAACCUACCUAUAAGACUGGGAUAACUUCGGGAAACCGGAGCUAAUACCGGAUAAUAUAUUGAACCGCAUGGUUCAAUAGUGAAAGACGGUUUUGCUGUCACUUAUAGAUGGAUCCGCGCCGCAUUAGCUAGUUGGUAAGGUAACGGCUUACCAAGGCAACGAUGCGUAGCCGACCUGGGAGGGUGAUCGGCCACACUGGAACUGAGACACGCUCCAGACUCCUACGGGAGGCAGCAGUAGGGAAUCUUCCGCAAUGGGCGAAAGCCUGACGGAGCAACGCCGCGUGAGUGAUGAAGGUCUUCGGAUCGUAAAACUCUGUUAUUAGGGAAGAACAAAUGUGUAAGUAACUAUGCACGUCUUGACGGUACCUAAUCAGAAAGCCACGGCUAACUACGUG
rnacentral:rRNA from 1 species